GACGAACGCUGGCGGCGUGCCUAAUACAUGCCAGUAGAACGCACAGUUUAUACCGUAGCUUGCUCCACCAUAAACUGUGAGUUGCGAACGGGUGAGUAACGCGUAGGUAACCUGCCUGGUAGCGGGGGAUAACUAUUGGAAACGAUAGCUAAUACCGCAUAAUAUUGAUUAUUGCAUGAUAAUUGAUUGAAAGAUGCUAUUGCAUCACUACCAGAUGGACCUGCGUUGUAUUAGCUAGUAGGUGAGGUAACGGCUCACCUAGGCGACGAUACAUAGCCGACCUGAGAGGGUGAUCGGCCACACUGGGACUGAGACACGGCCCAGACUCUUACGGGAGGCAGCAGUAGGGAAUCUUCGGCAAUGGACGAAAGUCUGACCGAGCAACGCCGCGUGAGUGAAGAAGGGUUUCGGAUCGUAAAGCUCUGUUGUAAGAGAAGAACGGGUGUGAGAGUGGAAAGUUCACACUGUGACGGUAUCUUACCAGAAAGGGACGGCUAACUACGUG
rnacentral:rRNA from 1 species